UGACUCCUGUCCCUACGGUCACGUAUUUGGAAGGGGGCUGGAACACUUGUUUUAUCCAAUUGUCUAGCAGGCUGCAUUCUGAUUUGUUUGGGGCAUUAGUGGUGCUCCCUGAAUGACUUAUUUCUAGUCUCUGAUCUCAGAGCUCUGAAAAUUUAUCUAUCUGUACUUCCCUUAGGAUUCCUGUCAGUCCCUUGGCUUGUGAAGAACAAAGGCUUUACAAUGGCCUCCUGCUGUAUUUGCUUCAGCAUUAUGAGUUGCUUUUUGUUGAUGUGAACCCUUGUUUCUCACCAAGACAAGCAGAUGGCCUCCAGGCGCGCAUCGUGUGAAAAGUUGAGCAACUCGUGAAAGCUGCUGCUGAUGGAACACCGAGCUGGUAUGAUCAAGAUAAUCACAGAUAUGCUUCAAGAUAUGCUUGGAAUGAGAAACACUUCUAAGAUUCAAGACAAAGUUUCAAGUUCAAUGCUGUUUUUGAAGAGGACCAAUGCUUAAGCUUUUUGUUUACUACAGGCCUCUCUCACUUCAACUCUGAAAUAAAUGAAUACUGACAGCAAGCUUGAAAAGGAGCUGGACGUAAGUGAUGCACACUAUAGUCUAUUUAAAGCCUCUUCAUUUCUGUUCCUUUGAAACUACAAAACCACAAAUCUGUUUUUUUUUUUGUUUGUUUCUAAUUUUUGAUGGAUUAUGUUUCUGGGAAUUGCCAAACUGUUUACAUUGAGGUUUUUUGUUCGUUUUGAGAAGCUGUAUGUGUUUUUUUGUUGUUGUUGUUCUGUUUUCCUUCUCUUGGUAGCAUAUAAGUUUUUUGUCUUAUGUUUGUAUUAUUAACUUAUUGCUUGAGAAUGCUAUUACUUGAAUAGUUCUGGAGAACAAAUUACCAAUGGAAAUACUACAUGCUAUAAAGUUGUUGUUAUAUACAGUGUAUACUAUGAUUAUAUUAUAUGCUAAUAUUAUUACUAAGCAUAUAAUAGUAAAAGUAAUAAUAAUAAUAUUAUACUAUUCCUUUUACAAGAUAGUUUUACAAUAUAGUUCCCCUAAAGCCAGUGAAUUCACAUCGUUCAGAACUACUAGGACAUCCUAAGCAGUCUGAAGGUUCUGAACUAGUAGGCCAGCUCCUGAAUGUCAUUUUCAUGGGAGACCUAUUGGAAAACCGCGUGGGGAAAACUGCUGGCAGCUGCUAAUGCCUGGGAAAUGCGUUAUAUAAUACAUGUGACAGAGUUAAAAGAGCCCGAGGAGGGCAUUUUGGUAAUGAUAGAGAAGGAAACUGCCCAUAGGAAUACUGAGGAGCUGGAGGUAGGAAGUGCUUCCAGUUUUCAAAAUAUUUUGUCAUAGUUCUGACUGUAAUUCUUUUCUCAGGAAGAGAGGUGGAGUGGUUGGAAAGGAGUUUGUAGUUUGCCUGCUAUUAUCAAAAACAACUUGUGUUUUUCUACCUGUACAUUCUUUGGAAGCAAUUCCUUUGAAGUUAUCGUGUAUUAAGCAUUAUAUUAGUAAUUGCAGUGAAUUGUUAGUUUGUAAUGCUUUUGAAAACUUUUUUCCCCCUAGUAUUAUCCCCACUAGUAUUGCUUCUACACAUACGUACCCGUACUGUGCUGAUACAACCUAUCUGACUAAAGUGAAAUAACGUUUCCUUUGCAGUGUUUAGAGUGCAAGCCUUAAUCAGUCUGUAUUUCUAAGCCUAACCCUCAAGUUAGGAACAAGCAUUUUUUGGUUUAUUUGACUAUCUUCGUGAGCAACAAGUUUGUUUAUUGUGUGACCAGUAUUUCUAAAUGAGUAACUCUGUACUGGAUGUUUUACGGUGCUGUCACCGUGAUUAAGGAAGCUGUUAAGAACACAGAAGUGAAUUGCUGCUUAUGGCAUGCUAGCAUGCAGCCCUGAUCUGUAACAAUAACUCCGUUACUGAAAUAUUGGCGAGAACGCCAAUGGCUGUGGUAACCUAAGCAUAGUGUAAAAAUAGUGAAAGGAUAGGUAUCUUGAGAAAACUAAUGUCUGCAUCCUGCUGAGUGUGCUGGUCAAAUCACGCUUUUAAGACGCUGGAUACUUUUCUAUUUUGCAUAAUCACAGCAGAGAAAACUAAUGCUUUACUACUUACGACACAUAGUAGUUUUGUAUUACACUUCUAUGUUGUUUAGUUUUAAUAACCUAUUAAAUUUUACUAGCAGAUAGAGUUUAAAAAAAAAAAAAAAAAAAAAAAAAGAACUUCAAAGCAAGUUUUCAGAGGUUCAUGUGCCCAAAAUUUGGGGAAAUGAUUACCUUGUUCUUAAUCUUGUGUGCAGAAGCUCUUGCACAAGGGAUAGCGGAUAGAUUUCCCCCAAUUUUAAUGCCAGAGUUAACUGAAAACAAACCUUUUACCGGAAAAAAAAAAAAAAAUUCAAAAUGGAGGGUUUUAAUCUGUCUCUGAAGUUGAGUCAAACUCAUCUCGAUAACCAGCCAAAACCUACAGGAUUUCAGCAUAAUGCAAGCCUCAAUGCUACCAGAUAACCACCUUGGAAGCCUGCGGUAUAAACAGACAUUCAUUCUGUAUUCCGAGAAUAUGCCGGGUGGUAUUUUAAAGUCAUAUAGCUGUUUUGAACAUACUAAAGGUAAAACUGCAAGCUCAAAAUUAAAACAUUGAGUUAUGUGCUAUGAAUGGACAAUGGGUCUAUUAUUUAUCUACGUUUCUAAAGAUUACCACACCCUUGGCUAUUCAGAACUCGAUGAAGUUAUUAUGAGUGCCUACCGUUGUUUGCAAAAUGUAGAAGAAAAUGGAAAAUGGCUCUCCAGGGUACAAGGUAUUUUUGAGGAUGGAUUUGAAAACAUACACCAAAAGUUAAUGAGGAAUAAAUUGUAACUUCUUUAGUUUAAUUGCCAGUGCAUCUCGUUUACCUGAGCUACUAAAAUUUAAAAAAUAUAAAUAAAAAUCAAUAAAAAGACAAAUUUGACAAAGCAUUUUGAAACUUCUGACAGUUUCUUUGUGUCAUAGUGUUUUUAUACUAAG
rnacentral:lncRNA from 1 species